rnacentral:rRNA from 1 species
UACAUAGGGUGCAAGCGUUGUCCGGAUUUAUUGGGCGUAAAGAGUUCGUAGGCGGCACAGUAAGUCAGAAGUAAAAACGCAGGGCUCAACCCUGCGUCGCUUUUGAUACUGCUGAGCUUGAGUAUGGCAGGGGAAGACGGAAUUCCACGUGUAGCGGUGAAAUGCGCAGAUAUGUGGAGGAACACCAACGGCGAAGGCAGUCUUCUGGGCCAUUACUGACGCUGAGGAACGAAAGCGUGGGGAGCGAACAGG